AUGAGGAGAGUAUAUUACCUGCAUUUUACAGAUGAGGAAACUCAUGGAUGCAGAAUUCUGAGGACAUUGAGAGAAGAGCCAGAUUUCAAGUUGUUUGAACACGGAACAGAGAUAAUUGAAGAACGCGCCUCUAACCUUAAAGCAACGGCCGGCCCGGUGGAAGGCAAACGCCCUGGGGUUCACCAGUUUCACUUCACUGGUUCCCUCCUCACCGGGGAUGGAAAGCAGAAGUUCACCACAUGAAAAUAGACCCCGUUGGGCAUGCAACAGCAACACCGUCAGCAAAGCGUCUCUUCCUGUUAGUUCACUUCUUCAAUUCUCAGCUUGGCUCUUUGCAACCUAAUUAGUCGGGCUCUAUGAGAAACCCUGCCUGGCCUUGAACCGGUGGCUUUACAGUGUUUGCUGAAGCUCCUGACCGCCCAGUGUUUCGGAAAGUCUGCUCUAAAUUCCUUAAUGGGCCCUUGUGCCGGAGAAAGAACUACAGGGAAAAACCUUUCUGACCCUCUCCAGAGCUCACCUUGACCCGGGGCACCUGUCCCAGUAGUCAGUCUUCAGAGAGCGGACCUGCAAGGGACUCAGGGCGUUGGGAUG
rnacentral:lncRNA from 1 species